UUGGAGGGCAAGUCUGGUGUCAGCAGCCGCGGUAAUUCCAGCUCCAAUAGCGUAUAUUAAAGUUGUUGCAGUUAAAAAGCUCGUAGUUGAAUUUCGGGGUCAGUAGGUUGGUCGUGCCUCGGUACGUACUGGCAUUAUUGGUUCCUACCUUCUGAAGAACCGCGAUGUCAUUAAUUUGGUGUCGUGGGGAAUCAGGACUGUUACUUUGAAAAAAUUAGAGUGUUUAAAGCAGGCGCACGCUUGAAUACAUUAGCAUGGAAUAAUGAAAUAGGACGUUUGAUUCUAUUUUGUUGGUUUCUAGGAUCGACGUAAUGAUUAAUAGGGAUAGUUGGGGGCAUUAGUAUUCAAUUGUCAGAGGUGAAAUUCUUGGAUUUAUUGAAGACUAACUACUGCGAAAGCAUUUGCCAAGGAUGUUUUCAUUAAUCAAGAACGAAAGUUAGGGGAUCGAAGACGAUCAGAUACCGUCGUAGUCUUAACCAUAAACUAUGCCGACUAGGGAUCGGAUGAUGUUAAUUUUUUAAUGACUCAUUCGGCGCCUUACGGGAAAC
rnacentral:rRNA from 1 species